CGAAAGUGCGGGUAUCAAACAGGAUUAGAUACCCUGGUAGUCCGCACAGUAAACGAUGGACACUCGCUGUUGGCGAUACACUGUCAGCGGCCAAGCGAAAGCGUUAAGUGUCCCACCUGGGGAGUACGCCGGCAACGGUGAAACUCAAAGGAAUUGACGGGGGCCCGCACAAGCGGAGGAACAUGUGGUUUAAUUCGAUGAUACGCGAGGAACCUUACCCGGGCUUGAACUGCGCAGGAUGCAUUUGGAAACAGAUGUUCCCUUCGGGGCCUGCGUGGAGGUGCUGCAUGGUUGUCGUCAGCUCGUGCCGUGAGGUGUCGGCCCAAGUGCCAUAACGAGCGCAACCCUCAUUUCCAGUUGCCAUCGGGUAGUGCCGGGGACUCUGGAGAGACUGCCGUCGUAAGAUGCGAGGAAGGGGGGGAUGACGUCAAAUCAGCACGGCCCUUACGUCCGGGGCUACACACGUGUUACAAUGGGGGGUACAGCGGGACGCUACCCGGCGACGGGAUGCCAAUCCUGAAAGCCCCUCUCAGUUCGGACUGGAGUCUGCAACCCGACUCCACGAAGCUGGAUUCGCUAGUAAUCGCGCAUCAGCCACGGCGCGGUGAAUACGUUCCCGGGCCUUGUACACACCGCCCGUCAAGCCAUG
rnacentral:rRNA from 1 species